UACGAAGGGUGCAAGCGUUACUCGGAAUCACUGGGCGUAAAGCGUGCGUAGGCGGUUCGUUAAGUCUGCUGUGAAAGCCCUGGGCUCAACCUGGGAACUGCAGUGGAUACUGGCGGACUAGAGUGUGAUAGAGGAUGGUGGAAUUCCCGGUGUAGCGGUGAAAUGCGCAGAUAUCGGGAGGAACACCGGUGGCGAAGGCGGUUCUCUGGGCCUUACCUGACGGCUGAGGAGCGAAAGCGUGGGGAGCGAACAGG
rnacentral:rRNA from 1 species